rnacentral:rRNA from 1 species
UGAGGGAUAUUGGUCAAUGGGGGAAACCCUGAACCAGCAACGCCGCGUGAGGGAAGACGGUUUUCGGUAUUGUAAACCUCUGUCCUCUGUGAAGAUAAUGACGGUAGCAGAGGAGGAAGCUCCGGCUAACUACGUGCC